rnacentral:lncRNA from 1 species
GUUCCCUCAGAGACAUGGAGGCCGGAGAAGAAGCCAAGGGCAUGGACAUCAGCCCCAUGGAACAGGAAGCCACAGCCCCAGAGGCCCCAGCCAUAGAGGAGCCCCCAAGUCCACCCAGAGAAGAUGUGAGCCUACCUACAGUGUCGGCACCCCCUGAGUCUCCAGACGAUCCUGAGGAUGUGGAGGGACAAGAGUUGGAGAUGAGGCCCCAGGAUGAGAAGAAAGAGGAAAAGGAAGAAGAGUCAGCCAUGGCUAGUCCCUGGAGUGGCCCAGAGGAGCUGGAACUGGCACUGCAGGACGGGCAGAGGUGUGUGCGGGCCCGACUGAGCCUCACUGAGGGUCUGUCCUGGGGCCCAUUCUACGGGAGCAUUCAGACCAGAGCUUUAUCCCCUGAGAGAGAAGAACCGGGCCCGGCACUGACCCUGAUGGUGGAUGAGAGCUGCUGGCUAAGGAUGCUGCCCCAGGCCCUAACUGAAGAAGAAGCUAACUCCGAGAUCUACAGGAAGG